GAGAUGUUAUACAAAGAAGCUAAAGGAUUUCUCAAGGUAAUAUAGGAAGACACUGUGAGAAAUGGAAGUCUUCUGAUUGAGUCAGUUCUUCAGCCCUCCAUCAUGUUGCAUCCUUUUACACGCCCUAAACAGGGAGACAGUGAAAGAAGAACAAGAGCCCAGCGUCUCUGGGAGGUAGAAAGACUUGGGGAAGAAUUGAACUCGGUGAAGAAGAGCAGGAAGAAUGAGGGAGAGAUUUGUAUUAAAGAAAAAUCCAUCUUAACAAACAAGCUUAGAUGUGGUUGAUUUUUUUUUUUAAUUAUUACUAUUAUUAUUAUCAGAGAAAAACGUUUUUUCCCCUCCCUUUGAUGCCUGAACAGAAACAAAAAAAUGUAUAUCGUUGUUUCAUGCCAUGUUGUACAAGACGUCAGUACACAGGUUAAUGGAAAAAAAUGCAUGAAUUUGGAUAGAUAUAUAAAGGUCCCUUGGGUGUUCAGUCAUAAAUCUUUGUAGCUGGAAGGCAGAGCAGACAUAAAUAGGCCUGAUAUAACCAACUGCUUUACAUACAAAUGAGUGCUUGCCUUUUAUUUAGUUGACAAUAUUAUUAUUUCAAAUCCAAGAGGAAUAUUAAAUAACUUCUGUUA